AGUGGCGGACGGGUGAGUAACGCGUGAGCAAUCUGCCUCUGUGUGCGGGAUAACAACCGGAAACAGUUGCUAAUACCGCAUAAUGUAUACGGGCCGCAUGACCUGUAUACCAAAGGUUUACUGCACAGAGAUGAGCUUGCGUCCCAUUAGCUAGUUGGUGAGGUAACGGCCCACCAAGGCGACGAUGGGUAGCCGGACUGAGAGGUUGAACGGCCACAUUGGAACUGAGAAACGGUCCAGACUCCUACGGGAGGCAGCAGUGGGGAAUAUUGGGCAAUGGGCGAAAGCCUGACCCAGCGACGCCGCGUGAGGGAAGAAGGCCUUCGGGUUGUAAACUUCUUUUAGCAGGGACGAAGAACGUGACGGUACCUGCAGAAAAAGCAACGGCUAACUACGUGCCAGCAGCCGCGGUAAUACGUAGGGGGCAAGCGUUAUCCGGAAUUAUUGGGCGUAAAGAGUGCGUAGGUGGUUACCUAAGCAGGGGGUGAAAGGCAGUGGCUCAACCAUUGUUAGCCCCCUGAACUGGGCUACUUGAGUGCAGGAGAGGAAAGCGGAAUUCCUAGUGUAGCGGUGAAAUGCGUAGAUAUUAGGAGGAACACCAGUGGCGAAGGCGGCCUUCUGGACUGUAACUGACACUGAGGCACGAAAGUGUGGGGAGCAAACAGGAUUAGAUACCCUGGUAGUCCACACCGUAAACGAUGAGCACUAGGUGUCGGGGUCGCAAGACUUCGGUGCCGCAGUUAACGCAUUAAGUGCUCCGCCUGGGGAGUACGUACGCAAGUAUGAAACUCAAAGGAAUUGACGGGGACCCGCACAAGCAGCGGAGCAUGUGGUUUAAUUCGAAGCAACGCGAAGAACCUUACCAGGACUUGACAUCCUUCUGACCGGCCUUUAACCGGGCCUUUCCUUCGGGACAGAAGUGACAGGUGGUGCAUGGUUGUCGUCAGCUCGUGUCGUGAGAUGUUGGGUUAGGUCCCGCAACGAGCGCAACCCUUGUCAUUAGUUGCCAUCAUUAAGUUGGGCACUCUAGUGAGACUGCCGGGGACAACUCGGAGGAAGGUGGGGAUGACGUCAAAUCAUCAUGCCCCUUAUGUUCUGGGCUACACACGUAAUACAAUGGUGGUAAACAGAGGGAAGCAAGACUGCGAAGUGGAGCAAAUCCCUAAAAGCCAUCUCAGUUCGGAUUGCAGGCUGCAACUCGCCUGCAUGAAGCUGGAAUCGCUAGUAAUCGCGGAUCAGCAUGCCGCGGUGAAUACGUAACCGGGCCUUGUACUCACCGCCCGUCA
rnacentral:rRNA from 1 species